CUCCCUUGAGAGGCAACCUUAGCGCAGUGACAUCUCCAUGGCUGGAAGCUGCUUGAAUACUAAAGUCCUCCUCUUCUUUAUUGGGCUCUGUAUCUCUGCAACAGUUCUUGGUGGCUGUCGCUCCACACCCAAGCAUUUUCCCUCAAAGGAAUCCGGGAAAGUCCUAUCUUUUCUUCAGAUCCUGUCAAGGUGGUUGAGGGUCUGCUCUCUUUGAAUAGUGUGGCACUUUCUGCCUCUGGACUGAACUUGUCUGGCUACCCCAGCCUGGAAAGAAUUCUCAACAUCUCCAGGAAUCUUAAGGCACUGAAUCCAUCCUUUAAAGAGACAAGACGCCUGCAGCAGGAUCUGAAGAUCAGCCAUAUGGAAACUGGUCCACUCAUUUUGCUUGGUUCCAGAUGUUAGAACCAAGCAUCAGAGCCAGAGGAGCCGUGGCUCAGAAUCUGGCAACAACACAAACCCAUAUCCCUUUAGUGUGUCUUAAACAUGUAUCUGACAAGAGGUGGGGAAUUGUUUUUUCUACUAAUAAAAUGUCUGUGAUUUUUUAUGAUAAAAAUAAGGGAUUCAUGAAAUGUGGUAACAUAACAAUAAAGUUUUAAU